CAGAUUUCUAAAUCCACUACAAACGAACAUGUCAGGAUACUGGGGAAGCUCCAUGCCUGGACGUUGUCAGAUAUUUUCCUUCCAAAUGUGUUUGUAUAUUGGCCACAUUGCUGCACCCAGACCAUGAAAUACAGCUCCAUGAAUAACUAACAGAUGAUUACAUUUAUGAGUGAAGACUACUCAUAGAAGACAGCCACUUCCUACAGGUGACAAGCAAUCUUCUG
rnacentral:lncRNA from 11 species